rnacentral:rRNA from 1 species
CUACGUGCCAGCAGCCGCGGUAAUACGGAAGGUCCGGGCGUUAUCCGGAUUUAUUGGGUUUAAAGGGAGCGUAGGCCGGAGAUUAAGUGUGUUGUGAAAUGUAGACGCUCAACGUCUGACUUGCAGCGCAUACUGGUUUCCUUGAGUACGCACAACGUUGGCGGAAUUCGUCGUGUAGCGGUGAAAUGCUUAGAUAUGACGAAGAACUCCGAUUGCGAAGGCAGCUGACGGGAGCGCAACUGACGCUUAAGCUCGAAGGUGCGGGUAUCGAACAGGAUUAGAUACCCUGGUAGUCCGCACAGUAAACGAUGGAUGCCCGCUGUUGGUACCUGGUAUCAGCGGCUAAGCGAAAGCAUUAAGCAUCCCACCUGGGGAGUACGCCGGCAACGGUGAAACUCAAAGGAAUUGACGGGGGCCCGCACAAGCGGAGGGACAUGUGGUUUAAUUCGAUGAUACGCGAGGAACCUUACCCGGGCUUGAA